CUGCCCGUAGCUCAGCUGGAUAGAGUGCCGGAUUCCGAUUCCGAUGGUCGCAGGUUCGAAUCCUGUCGGGCAGGCCA
rnacentral:tRNA from 1 species